AACGAACGCUGGCGGCAUGCCUAACACAUGCAAGUCGAACGAUGCCUUCGGGCAUAGUGGCGCACGGGUGCGUAACGCGUGGGAAUCUGCCUUUCGGUUCGGAAUAACUCAGGGAAACUUGAGCUAAUACCGGAUAACGUCGCAAGACCAAAGAUUUAUCACCGAAAGAUGAGCCCGCGUAGGAUUAGCUAGUUGGUGAGGUAAAGGCUCACCAAGGCGACGAUCCUUAGCUGGUCUGAGAGGAUGAUCAGCCACACUGGGACUGAGACACGGCCCAGACUCCUACGGGAGGCAGCAGUGGGGAAUAUUGGACAAUGGGCGAAAGCCUGAUCAAGCAAUGCCGCGUGAGUGAUGAAGGCCUUAGGGUUGUAAAGCUCUUUUACCCGGGAAGAUAAUGACGGUACCGGGAGAAUAAGCCCCGGCUAACUCCGUG
rnacentral:rRNA from 1 species